GAAAAAUUAAUGUUGACAUAACAUGAAGUAAGGCAUCCUCUUGAGAGUUUUUUGAGUGGCUUUAAAAAAAGUUGUUUUAUUUAGCCCUUAAAAGGACUGUUAAAUCAUUCAUCUCUCGUCUUCCUUUUGUAGCUCCUUAACUACCCCUACCCCAAGGGGUAAUCUGUCUGUCGGCUUCUUUCUCUACUCUCUCCCGCUGCUCUGCCAGUGCUUCUGUCUGAGCUCCACAGCAGCCACGGUGUCGUGCCAAACGAGUUAUCCAAGCCAGUGUUGGGAGCGUGCAUUCAGAGCGAAUCCAAUCAACUCCGCCUCAUUUUCAACCAACUAGAUGAAGAAAUAGAGAUGUUUAACUUUUGUUGACGAAGUAAAAUGUUAAAAAAUUAUGGGAUCACAGAGGCUGGAGCUGCAGAAAGCAGAUAACAGUAAAACAGCAGCUAACUCACAUAUGCCAAAGACUUCACAGUUGUGGCGCGGAUAAAUGUAACCUAGAGUAUAAACUGCCUUUAAUCCCGCCUUGCUGCUCCAUUGGCUAGAAUGACAAUUGGUCACAUGGUGCAUUCAGCCAAUCACUGCAUCUGGAGUGGUUAUUCAGGCCUGCUCCAGCUUUCCCAGUCAGGUGUGAGGGGGAGAGCUGGAGACAAAGGAGCUACAGAUCUGCAUACCCAGUGAGCUUGAAGCCAAGAAGUUGCCUUUCACUGAACUAUUUAUGGAAUUGGCCAGGUGAUCCUUUUUAGGGUUAAAAGGAUGGCAAGCUUUUCACAACUGGCUGGGCCAGGAGAACCUGAUAUUCCCUCCAUGCUGAUCUAGUAGGGGGCUGAUGGUCUGUAGCAUUUUUCCUUUCCUUCUCAUCAUACCGACACACAAUUCAUGAUUCAUCUCUUCUCCGUUGGACACAAUUUGCGCUUAGGCAUUUUUCACCUCAAAUAACUGGACAAUCAAACUAUGGACUUUUGAAAUGUGUGUCAGUCAGACAUGGUGCUGACUGGUGGGGAAAUGCAGGAGUUUUGUGCACAUUCAUGAAGAUCUACUGCAGUGUUGUAUGUAUUUAUAUUGUUUGGGUCUAUGUAUGUUUUGUGGUGUUUUAUUUUUUUCCCUUGCUUUAAAAAUACAUAUUAAAAGCAGUUAUUCUUUUGUAUUGGUUUUUCAUUAAUCACUGACAACAGCUCCUGCAGACAAAUUUAGACUUCUGAUGUCAUAUGCGUUCUAGUCUUUAAUAUCUAAAUUAGUGUUACAUAAACAAAUGGACAGUCAUCUCGGGACAGAAUGGACACGUGGAUAUCCCUUGAGCCAGGCUAACAGUGACACGUAAACCAAAAGACAACAUGGGAGGAAUCAACCAAUCCUGGAGCAGG